rnacentral:lncRNA from 1 species
AUGGUUCCCAUGAGCCCUCGGGACAUCACGUGGCCUGCCCAGUCUCCCAUGGUGCACCAAGGGCCCCAUUUCCCAGCAUACCUCAGGGCAGAGACCCAUUUCCUGCCACAGGGAGGCCGGCCCUCAGCGCCCUCUGAGGGGGUGGCCCAGCUUGGCCCGGUGAUGCUGAGAGGGCCCUGUGGGGGCCGCCUGGUCUCAUGGCCCGUCCUGGGUCUGUCGGCGCAGCACGGGCUCAAGGACCACCGAUCUGGCCGAGGCUGCCCUUCAGUGAAGGUGGAGCCGGCCCUGAGUCCCGAGGUGCAGGAGCUGCCCGGCGGGAGCGCGGCGGUUGGCAUCUCCCCCAAGAGGGCCGCGCCGUCCACGCCGCUGUCUCAAGGCGGCCAGGCGGCGCCACGCGCUGGCCGUGCAGGCGCGACCCCUGCCGGGGGCCCGAGAACUCGCCACCGACACGAGCCUCUGCUGCGGACUGGCGGCGCGGGAGCCUCGAGGAACUCCGCGAACCCGGGAGAAGCGGAGUUACAGGGAGGAAGACAUUUAGAAGGUGAUGGGAUUCUGCCACUGAGUGGACCAGGGAAGUCAGAAGAUGGAUGUGAUCUCCCGGUUGGAUGAUACCCUGAUGAUGGUGCUGUUUCCUGAACUGAGGAAUAGAGUGCUACAGUCAGAUUCGCGUUAGGAGGAGAAGUUAGAGACUCAAAGGUAUAGUAUUGAGUAUGCUGAAUCUGAGGUACCUGUGGGAUAAUUAAGUAUAGGCUGAUAGUGCCUUUAUUCCUUCUGCAUAAAAUUGCAUUUGUUUUGUACUUCAUGCCUCUUUAAAGCCAAUUUUGUCUUACUAGCUUUUUUAAUUGACUUAAGUUUUUUUCCCCUGUCCUUAGCCUUGGCCUUCUUUCCUUCUUUUACUGUAAAAUUAUUUACUUUUGAUAAGUAUACUAACCACGUGUGUAAAUAUACAUACAUCUGUCAACUGAUCUCUCACAAACACGUGUAAUUGGCAAAUGUCCUUUCUUUUUUCUUUAGACAACACAUUUUCUAAGGGCAGUAACUUUCCCUUUCUCCUUAAUAUGGUGACACUUGAAAAUCUCUCUCAAAAAAUAGCUAAAAUUGUAGUCAAGUAGGAGGCCCAAUGAGCUUCACAAUAUUUAGACUGAAUAAUCAUGUUUUGUUGUUGUUGCUGCUGCUGUUGUUGUUUAUCCAUGGCCAGCCUUUUCUUGUUUUGCUUAUUAUUGAUUCUUUUAAGAGCUAAUUAAUCUUCUAUCAGAUAUCAGGCCAAAGGAAGAGAGAAGGGAUAAUAUUUAACUGCACCCAUUUUCAUAUGGAUUUUGAGCUAUAAGGUACACAUUGAAUUGUUAGAACUCUUUUCUUAGGCUUCUUAAAAUGGGAAAAAAUCCUUUCCAUGUGGCAGGAAUAUUUUUACGGAAAAAUCAGUUCACUUUCUUUCUAGUAAGCAUUUUAAACUACAUAGGAAGAUCAUAACAGACAUCGAUGGAUAAAAAUUGAUUAGCGGGCCCGGCCCCGUGGCUGAGUGGUUAAGUUCACGUGCUCGGCUGUGGCAGCCCAGGGUUUCGCCGGUUCGGAUCCAUAGAAUUAAUAUAGUUAAAAUGUUCAUAGUUCC